AUGGCAUACAAAUAAAACUAUACACUUACAAGUAAUAUAUAAUAUAUAAUUAUUUUUCAAAUUUAUAUGCUUAUAAGUAAUAACAUUUAUUGUUAAUGCAUUUCAAAACAAAACGAUCUUGACAUUUGUGAUCUGGACAAUCAGCGACAGUAAUGCAGGUAAUAUGAUGACCAUAUCGAUUAAUGACAGGCAAAAGAUCUUUCAUGCCUAAAAUGAAUAAAAUCAUGUUACUAAAAGGGGUGAAAAAAUUUAGUAUAUUAUAAAGAAGAAAAUUGAUAUAGGUGUAAAAAUAGACUUACCGUCAUUGGUACCAAGAAGAAUUAGAAAAUGAAAGAUGAUAAAAGUAUAAACAAAUUUGAGAAUUUUAACCAUAUUUUUUCUCCUUUUGCAUGUAACAUAUAAAAAAAAUAUUUGACCAUUUUAUAAGUUAAACAUCCCAUGCUUUG
rnacentral:lncRNA from 1 species